UUGUAGCAAUACAACUGGCGCACGGCGCACGGGUGCGUAACACGUGGGUAACCUGCCCUUUGGUGGGGAAUAACUCCGCGAAAGCGGAGCUAAUUCCGCAUAAGAUCCGCAAGGAUGAAAGCCGCAAGGCGCCGAAGGAGGGGCCCGCGCCCGAUUAGCUAGUUGGUAGGGUAACGGCCUACCAAGGCUUUGAUCGGUAGCUGGUCUGAGAGGAUGAUCAGCCACACUGGAACUGAGACACGGUCCAGACUCCUACGGGAGGCAGCAGUGGGGAAUCUUGCACAAUGGGCGAAAGCCUGAUGCAGCGACGCCGCGUGGGGGAUGAAGCAUUUCGGUGUGUAAACCCCUUUCGAUCCGGACGAAACCCCGCAAGGGAUUGACGGUACGGAUAUAAGAAGCCCCGGCUAACUACGUGCCAGCAGCCGCGGUAAGACGUAGGGGGCCAGCGUUGUUCGGAAUUACUGGGUGUAAAGGGUUCGUAGGCGGUGCGGCAAGUUGGGAGUGAAAUCUCUGGGCUUAACCCAGAGGCUGCUUCCAAAACUGCUGUGCUUGAGUGUGGGAGAGGCGCGUGGAAUUGCAGGUGUAGCGGUGAAAUGCGUAGAUAUCUGCAGGAACACCCGUGGCGAAAGCGGCGCGCUGGACCACUACUGACGCUGAGGAACGAAAGCUAGGGGAGCAAACAGGAUUAGAUACCCUGGUAGUCCUAGCCCUAAACGAUCAGGACUUGGGGUGCCACCCGUUCGGGUGUCGUCCCGGAGCUAACGCGUUAAGUCCUGCACCUGGGGAGUACGGUCGCAAGACUG
rnacentral:rRNA from 1 species